UACGGAGGAUGCAAGCGUUAUCCGGAUUCAUUGGGUUUAAAGGGUGCGCAGGCGGGUUGAUAAGUCAGGGGUGAAAUCCCACAGCUUAACUGUGGAACUGCCUUUGAUACUGUCAGUCUAGAGUAUAGUUGAAGUUGGCGGAAUGUGUCAUGUAGCGGUGAAAUGCUUAGAUAUGACACAGAACACCGAUCGCGAAGGCAGCUAGCUAAGCUAUAACUGACGCUCAUGCACGAAAGCGUGGGGAUCAAAC
rnacentral:rRNA from 1 species